GUGCUUACUUCAGCAUCACAUAUACUAAAAUUGGAACUAUACAGAGAAGAUUAAUAUGGCCCCUGCACAAAGAUGACAAGUAAAGUCGUGAAGUAUUCCAUAUUAAA